UACGUAGGGUGCAAGCGUUAAUCGGAAUUACUGGGCGUAAAGCGUGCGCAGGCGGUUUUGUAAGCCAGAUGUGAAAUCCCCGGGCUUAACCUGGGAACUGCGUUUGAAACUACAAGGCUAGAGUGUGGCAGAGGGGGGUGGAAUUCCACGUGUAGCAGUGAAAUGCGUAGAGAUGCGGCGGAACACCGAUGGCGAAGGCAGCCCCCUGGGCUGAGAUUGACGCUCAGGCACGAAAGCGUGGGGAGCAAACAGG
rnacentral:rRNA from 1 species